CCAAGUAGCUGAAACGUGUUACCCAGUUUAGCCAUACACUCAUCAUAACAUAGUGAGUCAGACGGAGAAAUCUUUUACUAUAGUAAAUACCCCGAUAACGUGCUUACCAAUUACUCAUCGACAACGCUGUCUGCAAGUCGAGCCACUUUUAUCAUUGUGAACGUUGAUUUUCUAGCAGGAAUUAGUAAAAGUAUGACGCUUAAAGACGACAUGGAAAAUGCUAACAAGGAAUUACAAAUACCGACUGGAAUUGGUUCAUGUGUAAAACAGUGUAUCGCAGACGCUGCUGUUGACAAUCGUCUGAAAAUUGGUGUGUUGGAAUGCGCUGCAUUGUUAAAAUGUAAUGCCGAUAAUGUGAUGUUAUGUGUGCUACCCGAUGCAGGAAGUGAGAAUAUUUCGGUCAAUAUUCAACACACGUUAAUUGAAGCCUUCUGCCGAGAAAAUGAUAUUAAAAUUCUCAAGAUUGACAGUUUCAGUAAAAUAUUGGUAACCAAGGGUGAUGGUUACUAUGGUAAACAUAUAAAAAACGAUUACAAAACAGUUACAUCUGAUCUGAGCUGUCUACUGAUUGAGUAUCCGAAUGAGAAACUAAGCCCAGUAGACGAGGUCAUCCUUCAGUAUCAUCAAAAAUUACUACAAACAUACAAACAUUCUACUAAGCCUAUCAUCCAUAUUCCUGAGUGAGAUCACCAUAUCGUAAAAUGUUGGAAAAAAAUCUUAAUGACUUCAGGUCAUGCACCGCUCGAGUCUGACAGCUGCUCUGGUGCUUCUCGUUAGAACUUCCAGGGCUGCGACGUCACCAAAAUGGCGUUAUUGUGCUUCGCUGGCAGGAGCGCCAAUCAAAUGCAAGGUCACAGAAAGACACUUAUGAUCUUUACAAAAAAGAUAUGUGCCUAGAUGUACUGACUGUGGGUGCUAACACGUGCAUUUUAAAAUCUAAUUUCCAUUUUUGUCAUGGUGCAAAUAUUAUUUGAUCUUCGUGGAGCUGUGAUUUGUAAACUCUUCAUCCUUAUAUUCAUUAUCACCACGUAAGAACAAACAAGUGAAUAUAGACUGCAAACAAAUUUGUAAAUAUUUCUUAGUAUAAAAUUGUCAUUGAAACUA